GAGUUUGAUCGUGGCUCAGGACGAACGCUGGCGGCGUGCGUAACCCAUGCAAGUCGAACGAGCAGAUUUCCUUCGGGGAAGAAGCGAGUGGCGGACGGGUGAGUAACGCGUGAACAACCAACCCUAUACAGGGGGACAACAGCUGGAAACGGCUGCUAAUACCGCAUAAGACCACAAGGCCGCAUGACCAAGGGGUCAAAGGAGCAAUCCGGUAUAGGACGGGUUCGCGUCCCAUUAGCUAGUAGGCGGGUAAAGGCCCACCUAGGCAACGAUGGGUAGCCGAGCUGAGAGGCUGAACGGCCACACUGGGACUGAGAUACGGCCCCAGACUCCUACGGGAGGCAGCAGGGGGGAAUAUUGGGCAAUGGGGGAAACCCUGACCCAGCAACGCCGCGUGAAGGAAGAAGGCCUU
rnacentral:rRNA from 1 species